CCCCCCGUAGCUCAGUGGACAGAGCACGCGGUUUCUACCCGCUUGGUCGGGGGUUCAAAUCCCUCCGGGGGGG
rnacentral:tRNA from 1 species